rnacentral:rRNA from 1 species
UACGUAGGGAGCAAGCGUUGUCCGGAAUCGUUGGGCGUAAAGCGCGCGUAGGUGGCCUCAUAAGUCCGCUGUGAAAGUCAAAGGCUCAACCUUUGAAAGCCGGUGGAUACUGUGAGGCUAGAGUACGGAAGAGGCGAGUGGAAUUCCUGGUGUAGCGGUGGAAUGCGCAGAUAUCAGGAGGAACACCAAUAGCGAAGGCAGCUCGCUGGGACGUUACUGACACUGAGGCGCGAAAGCGUGGGGAGCGAACAGG